rnacentral:rRNA from 1 species
GACGAACGCUGGCGGCGUGCUUAACACAUGCAAGUCGAACGGAAAGGCCCUGCUUGCAGGGUACUCGAGUGGCGAACGGGUGAGUAACACGUGGGUGAUCUGCCCUGCACUUCGGGAUAAGCUUGGGAAACUGGGUCUAAUACCGGAUAGGAGCCAUCUUUAGUGUGGUGGUUGGAAAGUUUUUUCGGUGUAGGAUGAGCUCGCGGCCUAUCAGCUUGUUGGUGGGGUAAUGGCCUACCAAGGCGGCGACGGGUAGCCGGCCUGAGAGGGUGUACGGCCACAUUGGGACUGAGAUACGGCCCAGACUCCUACGGAAGGCAGCAGUGGGGAAUAUUGCACAAUGGGCGCAAGCCUGAUGCAGCGACGCCGCGUGGGGGAUGAAGGCCUUCGGGUUGUAAACUCCUUUCGCUAGGGACGAAGCUUUUUUGUGACGGUACCUAGAUAAGAAGCACCGGCUAACUACGUG